UACGUAGGGAGCAAGCGUUGUUCGGAUUUACUGGGCGUAAAGGGCGCGUAGGCGGUCCUAUAAGUCUGGGGUGAAAUCUCCCGGCUUAACUGGGAGGGUGCGCUAUAGACUGUGGGACUAGAGUGUGGGAGAGGAAAGUGGAAUUCCUGGUGUAGCGGUGAAAUGCGUAGAUAUCAGGAGGAACGCCGGUGGUGUAAACGGCUUUCUGGACCAUAACUGACGCUGAGGCACGAAAGCGUGGGUAGCAAACAGG
rnacentral:rRNA from 1 species